rnacentral:rRNA from 1 species
UACGUAGGUGGCAAGCGUUAUCCGGAAUUAUUGGGCGUAAAGAGCGCGCAGGUGGUUAAUUAAGUCUGAUGUGAAAGCCCACGGCUUAACCGUGGAGGGUCAUUGGAAACUGGUUGACUUGAGUGCAGAAGAGGGAAGUGGAAUUCCAUGUGUAGCGGUGAAAUGCGUAGAGAUAUGGAGGAACACCAGUGGCGAAGGCGGCUCACUGGACUGUAACUGACGUUGAGGCUCGAAAGCGUGGGGAGCAAACAGG